GUGCCAGUUAACUCAGUUGGCUAGAGCAUAGUGCUGAUAACACCAAGGUCACGGGUUUGAUCCCCAUAUGGAUGCA
rnacentral:tRNA from 1 species